rnacentral:rRNA from 1 species
ACGGAGGGUGCAAGCGUUGUUCGGAAUCACUGGGCGUAAAGCGAGUGUAGGCGGCUUGGUAAGUCGGGUGUGAAAGCCCAGGGCUCAACCCUGGAACUGCGCUCGAUACUGCUAUGGCUUGAGUACGAGAGAGGGUUGCGGAAUUGUCGGUGUAGAGGUGAAAUUCGUAGAUAUCGGCAAGAACACCAGCGGCGAAGGCGGCAACCUGGUUCGAUACUGACGCUCAGACUCGAAAGCGUGGGGAGCAAACAGG